AUGGGCAUGGCUGAUAAGAGCUUGGCGAAGAGGAAGGCUGGGCUGAUCACCAAGACGCUGGACAGGUGCUGGAGCACACCAAUGAGGAACAAGCCUGCAGAGGGCUGUUUCUCUGUCUACGUCGGUGCUGGGAGGCAGCGGUUCGUGGUGCGGACAGAGUGCGUGAACCACCCGCUGUUCCGGGCGCUGCUCAAGGAGGCCGAGGAGGUGUUUGGGUACGCAGACGCAGGGCCCCUUGAGCUACCCUGCAACGCCGAGGCGUUCGCCGGGGUGUUGGAGCAGAUCGAGGAGGAGAAGCAGAUGGUGGGGGGAAGGAGGUGCGGCCUUGUCAGGGGGAAAUCCUACCGGCUGCUUGGCACUGGUCAGGCUGUCAUCAUCGACCGGUCGUAG
rnacentral:rRNA from 1 species